rnacentral:rRNA from 1 species
UACAGAGGGUGCGAGCGUUAAUCGGAAUUACUGGGCGUAAAGGGCGCGUAGGUGGUUAAUUAAGUCAGAUGUGAAAUCCCCCGGGCUUAACCUGGGAAUGGCAUAUGAAACUGAUUAGCUAGAGUUUGGGAGAGGAAAGUGGAAUUUCAGGUGUAGCGGUGAAAUGCGUAGAUAUCUGAAGGAACACCAGUGGCGAAGGCGGCAACCUGGACAGAUAUUGCGCUGAGGUGCGAAAGCGUGGGGAGCAA